AGUGAACGCUGGCGGUAGGCCUAACACAUGCAAGUCGAACGGCAGCACAGUAAGAGCUUGCUCUUACGGGUGGCGAGUGGCGGACUGGUGAGGACUACAUCGGAAUCUACUUUUUCGUGGGGUAUAACGUAGGGAAACUUACGCUAAUACCGCAUACGACCUACGGGUGAAAGCAGGUGAUCUUCGGACCUUGCGCGAUUGAAUGAGCCGAUGUCGGAUUAGCUAGUUGGCGGGGUAAAGGCCCACCAAGGCGACGAUCCGUAGCUGGUCUGAGAGGAUGAUCAGCCACACUGGAACUGAGACACGGUCCAGACUCCUACGGGAGGCAGCAGUGGGGAAUAUUGGACAAUGGGCGCAAGCCUGAUACAGCCAUACCGCGUGAGUGAAGAAGGACUUCGGGUUGUAAAGCCCUUUUGUUGGGAAAGAAAAGAAGCAGGUUAAUACCACGCUGUUCUGACGGUACCCAAAGAAUAAGCACCGGCUAACUUCGUG
rnacentral:rRNA from 1 species